UCUAAUGUGGCAGACUAAUGCGGUAAGCUUAAGAUUUUCAUAUAAAUAUUUAUAUUUCUUUAGA
rnacentral:tRNA from 1 species